GGCCCCAAAAUGCACGAGCGCUCCCGGGGUCUCUCCCUGGGAUCAGUUCUGCUCCAUUUGCGCCUUGCAGUUCAUUGUCCCAUUCCAGCUUUAGCCCCUGCAGUCCCACCCUGCUUGUUUUUCUCUCUCCAGCCCACGGGGUUUGUGCUCUGGGGCUGAGAUUUGGGUCAUUUGUCCUUGGUGCCCAGCUGGAGCAGGAAUUGUUUUGUCUCCCUGCUCUGUGCACACAGCUCACCAUCCCUGAAUGUGAAGCCCAGACCCACACACUAAAGCAGCACAGAAUGUGAAACACAGAAAAGCUCAAACCUGAGGCAUCACCUUCACCUGUUCUUUUCCCGCCUCUUGUAGCUGGAAAUGUACACAUGGAAGAAGAGAAGAAAAUCCCGAUCACACUGCAGAGAUGGACUUUACAGGGCUUGUUGGACUGGGUUGACCUUUGCAACAGCUUUAUUCUCUUCAGCACCCUCGAGUUUGGAGACAAAUCAAUAAAUUGAGCAGGAGCAGUGCACAGAGACCAGAUGGUCCUCACCCAGUGCUUGCAGGGGAAUGAAAAUGUGAAAUCACGAAAUCACCAGGCUGCUGCUGUGGGACAGCACUCAGAUCUGCCUGGGUGCAGGAGGAGCAGCAGGGAGGAAUUCUCAGCCCAGCCUUUGUGCCAGCGUGCAGCUGAAUCCAAACCUGACUCAGUACCGCGUAAAAUAAAUUCAGAACUUCUAUGACUUCACAAAAAAAGUGAAAUCUGGCACUUGGCAGAGGCAGAAGGAAACAUCUGGAUGCUUUUGAUCAAAGAUGUUUAAGGAAAAUGAGCCUGCAGAGCAUCAAGAAUGGCACAGUUUGAGAAAGAGAAAGGAAGAAUGAAACUCUCCUCAGCAGAAGUUGGGAUGUGAUUUCUGCAGUUUCCUGAGCACACAGAAGAGUGGAGAGGACCUUCUUUGCCCAUUUGCUAGAGAACAGUUGAUAUUACAUUUGACAAUCCUGUAAUCCAAUUUAUAUCCAGCUCGCUGCUGGCCACCUGUGAGCAAUUUCAUUCUGUGGCUUUUUGUUUUAAUCUUGAGAGCGCUCAUUUGUCUGUGCAAGAUGAUUCCCUUGGACUGCCUCAGGAUCUUGGGCCCACCACAACAGCUGGGUGCUUAAUUCAGACACUUGGAGUUACUGAAUCCUGAUUUUUUGGUGGGAGUUUCAGUCUGUGGGAUGAAUCCUGCACUCAGAAAAUUGCUUUUCAUGCUGUGCUGUUUGCUGCCAUUGUCCUGUGAAGGUGAAGUUGUGUCCCAGUGCAUGCAAAAUGAAAAGUAAAGGAACCUGACUGGCUGACUGCUCUUUUAGACAGUAAAAUGA